UCUUAAAAAAAUAAAAAAUAAAUAAAAUUGGAUCUAUAAAAGAGAGAGUUAGCAUGGCCCCUGCACAAGGAGGAUACACAAAUUCGUGAAGCAUUCCAUAUUUGU
ensembl:snRNA Gm24185 predicted gene, 24185